AAUAAGAGGUCACGCCUGCCCAGUGACUAUAUGUUCAACGGCCGCGGUAUACUGACCGUGCAAAGGUAGCGCAAUCACUUGUCUUUUAAAUGGGGACCUGUAUGAAUGGCAUCACGAGGGCUUAACUGUCUCCUUUCUCCAGUCAAUGAAAUUGAUCUCCCCGUGCAGAAGCGGGGAUAAAAACAUAAGACGAGAAGACCCUAUGGAGCUUUAGACACAAAAACAGAUUAUGUCAAUCACCUUUGCACAAAAAGACAAAACUGAAUAACUCCUGUUCUUAUGUCUUUGGUUGGGGCGACCUCGGGGAGACAACAAACCCCCAAGCGGAACAGAGGCACUGCCUCCCAAGCCAAGAGCUCCUGCUCUAAGAAAUAGAAAAUCUAACCUUUAAGAUCCGGCAACGCCGAUCAACGAACCGAGUUACCCUAGGGAUAACAGCGCAAUCUCCUUAAAGAGCCCGUAUCGACAAGGGGGUUUACGACCUCGAUGUUGGAUCAGGACAUCCUAAUGGUGCAGCCGUUAUUAAGGGUUCGUUUGUUCAACGAUUAAAGUCCU
rnacentral:rRNA from 1 species